rnacentral:lncRNA from 1 species
CUCCGGCUCUGAGCAUUGUGCAGCCGGGGCUCGAUGCGCCCACACUCUCCAGGGUGGUGGCAGGCAGCGCUGACGGCGGUGCGCCCCGGGGUCCCUGCGCGGCCUCGGCGGGGUGGAAGCAGGCUUCCCGCAGCCGGUGAGUCGCGACGUCGCCCGGGCUGACCGUGGGUUCCUCGGCUGGCUCUCCCGCGUCGUCCUGGGCGCUCGGCCCGCCUGGUUCUCCCUCGGGCGGCUCUCGAUGCUGCGUCUGCCGCUUGUGUUUCAUGCGUCGGUUCUGGAACCAGACUUUGACCUGCCUUUCGGUGAGGUCCAGCAAGGCAGCGAUCUCGACGCGACGCGGCCGGCACAGCAACUCAGCGGAGAGCUGGAACUAGAAACUUUCUGUCAGUGUAACGUCCGCGUGGGUGGUGACCCAAUGAUGGUUGGGCUUCGGGUCACGUGACAGCCUCAUUGUAGCUCCGGAAGAGAACGUGAAGUUUAGGUUGCCUGGAAGAAGCAGUAAUAAUAUCUUACCAUCCCUGAGCCCUCUGAAAAUUGUAAUCAAUAGGGGUGGGGUGUAGAUAUGAAUGUCCUUAGAGCAGAAAACCAACCGUAGGGCCAUAGUAAAUGAUAGAUAUAGUAAGAAGCCUAACAGAUGGGGGAUGGGGGGAGUUGAAGCUUCAGGGAAGUAGGAGAGAAACAUACUUUGUGCCCUUCGAUUUAAAUGUAUUUUCUUAUUUUUCACAGGGAGACUGAAAGGGAGAACAAAAAAAAUCAAGAUUUUGGGGAAAUUACCCACAGAGAUGCAAGUGCUGGAACCCUGGGAACCCUGGGAUUGAUGUGGUCCCGUCUCCAACCUGCUGUGGAUUCCUUUCCAAGGGUUGUUGGCAGACAGAUGGAACCAGGCAUGGAGGACUUAAAAGACAGCCCCUGGGGGCGGGGAGGGGGCCUGGGAGCUGGGAAGGCACCCCAGGCCUGUUCUGUUUCUGGAAACCUGGCGACAACCCCAUCCCACACCUCUUUCAGGACUCUAAACCGCGCCCAUCCCCCAAGUCCGCCGUCUCCCUGGCCCUUAACCUCACCCCUCCCUCCCCAGCCCGCCCCUCCCAUCACAGGUGUGUCAGUUUGGGCGCUUCUUGGAUUCUACCCUGAGGCGGUGCGUGGUGAGAGGAGAGGUCUGUGUACGUGGGGUGAGGGUCACAGGGUCCAUGAUGCUGGUUGGGGCCCAUAGGGGCCGCCCCGUUGUAGUCCAGGUUCCCCGAGGGGUGGUGGGAAAGGUGAUUGAGGCCGUAGAGGGAGGGGCCGGCAGGGGGCGGCAGCGGAUCCGCGUAGCCACCCCCGCCCACAUACACCGGACUGCCCUGCAUGGUGGGCGUCCCGUAGGCGCCCCCGUUAGCUUGGAGGACGUGGGGCUCAUACUCCGACGCCGGGGUCGGGGGGUACUUCUGUGGGGCGAUCUUGAUCUGGCGCUCGCUGAGGUUCAGCAGAUUGGCCAUCUCGACCCGGCGCGGCCGGCACAAAUAACGGUUGAAGUGGGGAAAAAGAAAAAGGAAAAGGAAAAACUGUGCAUCUGCUGGAAUCUCUUUUCUACUGAGAUGGGGGAAAUUAUCCAGGAUGAGAAAGACUCACAAAACAAUUUGAACACUAUUCUUCUCUGGAUUCAAAGGGGAGGCUGUUUACUGAGGUUCCCAACAG